rnacentral:rRNA from 1 species
GACGAACGCUGGCGGCGUGCCUAAUACAUGCAAGUCGAGCGGACGGAUGGGAGCUUGCUCCCGGAAGUCAGCGGCGGACGGGUGAGUAACACGUGGGCAACCUGCCCUUGAGAUCGGGAUAACUUCGGGAAACCGGAGCUAAUACCGGAUAGGUUCUUCCCUCACAUGAGGGAAGAGGGAAAGACGGUUUCGGCUGUCACUCAAGGAUGGGCCCGCGGCGCAUUAGCUAGUUGGUGGGGUAAUGGCUCACCAAGGCGACGAUCCGUAACUGGUCUGGGAGGAUGAUCAGUCACACUGGAACUGAGACACGGUCCAGACUCCUACGGGAGGCAGCAGUGGGGAAUAUUGGACAAUGGGGGAAACCCUGAUGCAGCAACGCCGCGUGAGUGAUGAAGGCUUUCGGGUCGUAAAACUCUGUUGUUAGGGAAGAACAAGUACGAGAGUAACUGCUCGUACCUUGACGGUACCUAACCAGAAAGCCACGGCUAACUACGUGCCAGCCGCCGCGGUAACAC